rnacentral:rRNA from 1 species
AUGGAACAAUGUUGGCAAGGGAAGUCGGCAAAAUGGAUCCGUAACUUCGGGAAAAGGAUUGGCUCUGAGGACUGGGCUCGGGGGUCCCGGCCCCGAACCCGUCGGCUGUCGGCGGAUUGCUCGAGCUGCUCACGCGGCGAGAGCGGGUCGCCGCGUGCCGGCCGGGGGACGGACCGGGAAUCGCCCCUUCGGGGGCUUUCCCCGAGCAUGAAACAGUCGACUCAGAACUGGUACGGACAAGGGGAAUCCGACUGUUUAAUUAAAACAAAGCAUUGCGAUGGUCCUCGCGGAUGCUGA